GGAGGGCCCCAUCGUGAAGAAGAAGGAAUUUCCUGCAUCACACUUUGUUGUGCCGACGACCACGCGACUGCCACCCCUGGAACCUGAAACAAGAGGAAUAUCCUUUCGACUGGAAUCGCCGAACGGUCUCCGCACAGAGGGCAACUUUUGCAUCUUCUCCCCACCAGGAGAUGGCCGUGCGUGAGACGGGUGUGACCUAUCAUCAACCUUAUCUUCCGGGCUGAUCAGGAUAACCGGGUCGUGCGGGCUGGCAGCAGCAAUACCCUUUGUUAUAUUUCUUUUAAAAAUUAAGAUGA